UUUUAUAUAGUUUAAAAAAACAUUAUAUUUUCAUUAUAAAAAUAAUAAAUUAAAUUUAUUUAUAAAAA
rnacentral:tRNA from 1 species